GGCGGACGGGUGAGUAACGCGUAGGAAUCUGCCUACUAGCGGGGGAUAGCCCGAAGAAAUUCGGAUUAAUACCGCAUAAGCCCUACGGGGGAAAGCUGGGGAUCUUCGGACCUGGCACUAGUAGAUGAGCCUGCGUUAGAUUAGCUUGUUGGUGGGGUAAUGGCCUACCAAGGCGACGAUCUAUAGCUGGUCUGAGAGGACGAUCAGCCACACUGGGACUGAGACACGGCCCAG
rnacentral:rRNA from 1 species